rnacentral:rRNA from 1 species
UACGGGGGGGGCAAGCGUUGUUCGGAAUUACUGGGCGUAAAGGGUUCGUAGGUGGCCAACUCAGUCAGACGUGAAAUCCCUCAGCUUAACUGGGGAACUGCGUCUGAUACUAGAUGGCUUGAGUGCAGGAGAGGAACGCGGAAUUCCAGGUGUAGCGGUGAAAGGCGUAGAUAUCUGGAGGAACACCGGUGGCGAAGGCGGCGUUCUGGACUGCAACUGACACUGAGGAACGAAAGCCAGGGGAGCAAACGGG